CUUAAGUUUGUGCACUUGCUGUAAAUAUGGACAAAUAGCAAUAUGUGGGAUUUAGGUGGGCAUGCGAUGAGUGCACUGGUGCCCAUAAAGAACCUGCAUUACAUGA
rfam:Citrus sinensis cultivar Ridge Pineapple sweet orange scaffold00025_contig_73, whole genome shotgun sequence.